rnacentral:rRNA from 1 species
UACGUAGGCAGCGAGCGUUGUUCGGAGUUACUGGGCGUGAAGGGUGUGUAGGCGGUUGUUUAAGUUUGGUGUGAAAUCUCCCGGCUCAACUGGGAGGGUGCGCCGAAUACUGAAUGACUUCGAGUGCGGGAGAGGAGAGUGGAAUUCCUGGUGUAGCGGUGAAAUGCGUAGAUAUCAGGAGGAACACCGGUGGUGUAGACGGCUCUCUGGACCGUAACUGACGCUGAGACACGAAAGCGUGGGUAGCAAACAGG